rnacentral:rRNA from 1 species
GUCUGUGGCCAUACCACCCAGAACGCGCUCAAUCUCAUCUGGAAAGCUAAGCAGGGUCAGGCCUGGUUAGUACUUGCAUGGGAGAAAACUGUUGAUUUCUUAUGAAAUAUAGAUAGUGUUGCCU